UACAGAGGUCCCGAGCGUUGUUCGGAUUCACUGGGCGUAAAGGGUGCGUAGGUGGUUAGGUAAGUCCGAUGUGAAAUCUCCAGGCUCAACCUGGAAAUGGCAUUGGAUACUAUUUAGCUUGAGGAGUGGGAGGGGGGACUGGAAUUCUCGGUGUAGCAGUGAAAUGCGUAGAUAUCGAGAGGAACACCAGUGGCGAAGGCGAGUCCCUGGACACUUCCUGACACUGAGGCACGAAAGCUAGGGGAGCAAACAGG
rnacentral:rRNA from 1 species